GCAGGGGCUGGCUAGGGCGCGGCUGGGCUAGCUGCGGGGCUGCGGCACGCGCGCGGUGAGUGGGCCGGUUCGGCCCAAAACGGCCGGGCCGGUCCAUUUCCUUUUUUUUUCUUUUAGCCCUUUUCUUUUCUGUUUUUCUUAUUUCUUUGAUAUCUUUUGGUUUUGAACUCCAAAUUGGUCCAAAUAAAUUCCAGAAAAUUUGUAAAAUCAUGUUCUACCAUGAUACAACUUUUGGGAGUAGUUUCCCCUCAAAAUAAAAUAUAUAAAAAUACAUUUGCCCUAUAAAUGUCUCUAGGGCUAUAUAUCUAUUUAAAUAAAAUACCUUUUCAACUCCAAAUAAUUAUCCAAAAAUUAUGGGAUUGCUUAUAUAUGCAAUAAACCCCUUUUAUAAAUAAACCUUAUUGGUUUGAAAAUCCAAAGCUCAAAUGGGUGUAAACCCUAGGGUUUAAUUUGAAAGAGAAUCUUUGAAAGCCUUUUGAGAUUCAAAUUUGAAUUCAAACAUGCA
rnacentral:lncRNA from 1 species